rnacentral:rRNA from 1 species
UACGACUACAUAUCAGGCAUAUCAAUAAGCGGAGGAAAAGAAACUAACAAGGAUUCCCCUAGUAACGGCGAGUGAAGCGGGAAGAGCUCAAAUUUGAAAUCUUCAAGGUUCUACCUUGACGAAUUGUAGUUUAAAGAAGUGUUUUCGGUUAGAGGAGUAGUAAAAGUUCUUUGGAAUAGGACAUCAUAGAGGGUGAGAAUCCCGUAUUUGACUAUUCUUUCUAGCUUUGUGAUACACUUUCAAAGAGUCGGAUUGUUUGGGAAUGCAGUCCAAAAUGGGUGGUAAAUUUCAUCUAAAGCUAAAUAUUGGCGAGAGACCGAUAGCGAACAAGUACCGUGAGGGAAAGAUGAAAAGAACUUUGAAAAGAGAGUUAAACAGUACGUGAAAUUGUCAAAAGGGAAGCGUUUGACACCAGUGUUGUUUUCUGCGAAAAUCAAUUUAUAAUGGCUUGAUAGCUAAGCUUGCUAAGACUUUAUCAGCUUGUUUCUUAGUUUUCUUGUCUUUGUGAAUGCACUUUUCGUGUAACAAGUCAACAUCAAUUUCUUUUGCUGUAAAAGGGUAAGAGGAAGGUGGCUUCUGACUUCGGUUAAGUGUUUAUAGCCUUUUAUCUCUGCAGUCGGAGAGAUUGAGGUCUGCAGCGUAGACUCUUCGGGGUUAGAUACGUCGGUGCUAAGCUAUAGCUUUUCAUAGACAACUUGUUGACUAUGUUUAGUCAUGUGGCUUACCCGCUGGCGCUAUUUUACCUACGCUUAGGAUGUUGACACACGCGCGUGCUCG